GCGUGCGUGGCGCAGUGGUUAGCGCUGUUAUUUUUGAAAUUUUCAACCCGGGUUCGACCCCCCGUGGGGUCA